rnacentral:lncRNA from 1 species
CACUUUCCAGGUCGUGUACUCCACGAUCUAGCGCGUUGAGCGAACUCUCAACAACCUGGUACAGAGACAAGCAAGCUCAAUGCGUUACCACCUGAAAGCACGCCGCGAGCAUUGCAGCAGCUACCUCAUCAACAAGCGAUCCUUCGCGAGGCGCAAAAUUUGUUUGUACACUCUAGCCGGCGGGAAUCGAUGACACGAAGGUGGCAAAUGAGGGAGGGAGCCAGGCGCGAGAGGCGCGGAUCUGGGAGCGACGCAAGGCCAAAGUGAGGAAAUGUGGCGGCGAGGGUGUUGGCGAUGCGGGUGGCGCGCAUUGAUGAGAAACUGGAGAAAGCCUCAGGGCUGAGGAUUGUCGCUCCAGGAGAGUGCAUUUGAUUGUUUGUUUCUUUCUUCUUUUUUCGUUAAUUAUGUUUUUUUCUUUGCUUUUCUUUUCUUUUCUUUUCACUGUAGCUCUCACUCUGAUCAUCGUCACGAGUGAGCGGGAGCUCACAAUCAUCUACGAUUCUCGUCUCGUUUCGUCCUCUGACCACAUGGAAAUCGCGGACCCAGCACCCCGUCGAUCCCACCGUGAUUGUCGCGACGCAGCAGGAUUUGUCCCUUUCGUCUACCCCUAUGCGGUGAAACCCACCGUAACUCCAUCAGGGUGGUGCCAAGCUCCAUGCUGCGUUUUGGGCAAGCUUCCAUUUCCACUCCCCCACUUUAAAAACCCACACCCCACUCACGAAAACAAAAAUCCACAAGGUCCUAGAAAUCGGAAAGGUUAUUAAUAACAAAUCCCUGCUGGGUCCGAAACUUGCGCCAAUUCUCCGCCUGAUUCGGGCUGUUUCUGCUCCACCUUGUAGUGUGCUAUCUUAGUGGAUCCGAGGCGAUUCCUGUGGCGUGAAAUUUAUGGGUUUGGAUCCCACUCCACCUUUCGAUGUAUCCCCAUGUGCCGCGAGAAUUGAAUUCCGGCAAGGAGUCAACGAUUGAUUACCAAAACCCUACGCACAUCUUCACGGAUUGGUCACAUUGCAUCUGUUUUUGUUUCUCACGAAUUCGCCGAACACGCAAAAGUGACCCAAAAACACGACCCCAUGCACUACUGGAAACUAGGUUUGUCAGAGAUACUGGAAUCGUGCUUUUUCGUAUUAACAAGGCCACAGUUUGAAUUUGUGGCACAACGAGUUUUAAUUUAUGUAGUAAUGGUAGAAAUUUUCAUUUGGGUUAAUUGUAGAGGAUGGUCAAAUGUUGUGUAACCAUGACCCACCUAAUCUAUUAGACAGUAGUUGUGUUGUUGUUUUAUUAUUAUUAUUAUUAUUAUUAUUAUUUUGUUUGUUUGUUUUGUUUUAUUUUUUUUUUUUGUUUUUUUUUGUUUUUAUUUUUUUUUUCCCUGUCAAGUGAGGUUAAUAACUUAUGUUGCCAUGUUCAAGAAGUGGGGGGUUUAUGAUAGGGAUAAAGAAUAAAGGGGUGAGUAAACCACAUUGAUAAUUUUUCUUGUGUUGGUCAAGACUUUUGUUUCUAUUUUUACUUUUUUAACCAAGGUAUUGUUUAUCCCUAUCAUGUGUUCAUGUGAGAAAAAAAAAAAAAAAAAAAAAAAAAAAAACUAACUCAAAGUUUAAAAAUAGACACAUGUGUUUUUAAACACAAAGAAGAAGAAAAAAAGUUGUACACGAUAACACUUAAUUUUAUGUUGAAUGUUGUGAUAUGUGUUGAUGAUGUACUGCCUAUUUGAAAUAAGUUAUUCUAAAUAAUAUAAAACGUGCUUUUUUCUUUUUUCUUUCUUUUUCUGAAAUUUGUUAUUAGAGUAAAACUUUGUUUGAGUUUCUGUAAAAAAUCAUUUCCUUAAUAUUGGUGAUGACUCGGGUAUAUGCCUAGAAUAUAAAUUCAUUUCUCUCAUCUUAUUCAGCUAGUGAAAAUGGAAGAAAUGUAAUGGAUCAAAAUUUGGCUUCCCUAAAGCAUGAGUGAUCAUAUAUUUGGAAUUGUUUCGAAUCUUUUCUCAUAUUGAAAAUUACAUAGUAAAAAAAUACAUAUAUAUAUGCAUGUAUAUCUCAAAAUAAAUUCAUAACAAAUAAACUAAAAAACUUUAGAAUACAAUAAGUCUGGGAAAUAAAUGUGAAUUAGCUGGCAAAUUAAAUGGGACAGUUAUCAAAAUGAAAUUUGUACUAAUAUUUGUAAGAUUCAAGAGCAUUUUUAAUGGCGUUGGAAGUGAAAAGGCUAUCAAAACAUCCGACUUUACUUUAGUGAUUAUAUAUUUUUAAUAAAACUUUGGCUUCAAGUUACCAUGUAAUUUAUCUGACGCAAUAUAUACUUCAUUCAAAACAAUAGUAUUGACAACAGAGUCGUGUGUAAUAUAUAUUUUCUUUUUACAAUGUGUUCUAUUAUAGUAUGUUCGAUACUAUCAUGUUGAACUGCACGUGGUGCUCAAAAAUUGUAAUUUUUUUAACAUGACAGAAAUCACAGGAAAAAAAUAAAAAAUAAAAAAUAAGAGAGCGAGAGAAAGAAGAGAAAAAAGUUUAGUGCUAGUCUAAUUUUACAUUCAAGUACAAUCUUUGAAUAACAUUGUGAAGAAAGAAAUUAAAAAUCAAACAACAACAACAACAACAACAAAACUUAUUGUUAUAUAUGUAACACAUAUACAUAUAAUAGUCAUUACCACUAGUAUGUAUCCCAUCUACAACAAUGCCAUUCAAUUUUCAAUCCCAGAAACAAAAAUUAUGAAUGCUUACAAAUUUCUCUUCGAACCAAGAUUGCAUUAUGUAAAACUUCUGAAAAAGAAACCUUCAUGGUAGAAAUGGAUAUAUGGAUGAACAAAACACACGCCUUCAUUAAGUGCGUCUACAACAUUCAUAUUUUUCGUUCAUUUUCUCUAAUAGGGUAGGAAUAAAUAAAUAAAAAUAAAAAUAAAAAAAUCAUCUCUCAAUGAGUACAACGAAGGCACAAUCAUGGAAGCCACAUGACCAUUAGAAAAAUUGAGGCUGACAUGGCAGGGUACCUCAGCACACCACCUUGUAAAGGCCAUUCCUUUCAGUUUUUCAACGCACGAUGACCGUGUGUCUUUGGAUGGUUUUCUCACUUUCAUGACUCCUCUGUGCAAAUAAUUGUUGAACGAUAAUAUACUCUUCGUCAUUUUCUGUUCGGUUUACAAUAAAAAACACAAAAUGGUCAGUGUUUACUAAAAUUUGGCAUUUAAUGUGUGUUUGUAUCAAGCAGGAGGUGGGAUGAAAAAUCUGCACCCUUAUAUACAGUACAAGUAAGAAAAAACAAUGUAUCACAAUGUCUUCAUGAUGCACCCCUGAUUAAGUAUGAUUAUUGAAAUACUAUUGCUGAGAUGUUAGAAAUCACUCGCGGCACUAGAAAAAGUCACAAGGAUAAAAAAAGGAAUGACGAGUUAGAACUCCAUAUUUUAGGAAGCGACUGACCAUCAAUGCUAAAAUAAUAAAGGAUUCGCAUCUCCAUUUUCUAUCUUACAGUAACCAUUCUCACGCUAAUAACAUGUUUAUAUUGACUUGCUCCUAAAUUUAAACUAACUUUCAUACUGUAUAAAAUUGAUCGUACAUCGGUUCUUACCUCUGAAUUUGAUGGCUUUUCUUUGUUACCUAAUCCAAUUAUAUUUACAUAGUCUAAAGCCUACGAAAAAAUCAACAAUUCAAUGGAGCUUCUGUGAAAAUGAGUGACAAUGAAUUUCACGUUGUACAGUGUUGAUUCUUCAAACAACACCACCAGCGCGAACUUCAUAUACUACACAUGUAAAUCUGGUUGGAUUCAGUGUUGUGAUUUCUUUGGAGUUUGCGAGGUACUCACUUAUAAGGUAGCAAUCCAGUGAUAAUCGGCCGGAGAGAUGAGUUCACUGUUUGAAGCUGGUGAUAAACUGAGGUACAAUCACCGUUUUUGUGAGCUGGGUCAGAUUGAAACGGCUCAACACAUGGACUGCUGAGUUGCAGGACACGUUUAAAAAAUCCUCGUCAACAGGUCAAGAAUCAGAUAGGUAUAUGAAGACCGAGUGCACAUUACAGUUACGGUUCAAGCCCUAAACUCAUCACCUGUAUACACUGUGAUGCAGCAUUCAUGCCUCUGGAUGUGACGUCCCGGAGUGCUUUUCCACCUUAGAACUCCACCACAGGCUUACUUCGACAGAGAUCUGUGAACGUUACCGUAACUCAAAAAGCAUGGCACUUUCACAGAACCUGUUGCGAAGAAACGGGCUGGUUUCCAUCUAUUGCAAAGAAAUUGAAGAACUGAGAGCAUUUGGCUUCGUGAAGACUCAAACAAAGCUGGCAACCGAGAGAAAUCACUUCUUUCAGAAUCAAUAACAGACUUCAAACCAAAGAUUACUGAACAUGAACAUUAUUCUUUUUUCAAAGCUCUCUCUAACUCUACUCCUUUUGAAAAGUACAAUUUUGAUGAAUAACUACUCCCAAGUUUCGCAAGCCAUUCAGCUCCUAGCCGCCUGCAACAUGCGCGACUGCCAGUGUGAGAAGACUUGAAUUGUAGAAGUAAGAAUCACUUGGUAGGGACAUUGUCAGGGGUAACUUUGUAAAAUUUCAUUGACCUACGCAGGUGCAAGCGGCAACGCAAUCAAUAACCAAAAUGACAGGAAGAAGGAACUCGUUGGUGAGUUUCAACAAACUUAUCUCCAAAACGCGGACAAAUAUGCCAAUAUUGUAAAGAAUAUUGAGAUUUGGCAUCACCUCAAUGAUGUUCCUUCUUUGGAGCAGAAAAUCUCGAUGCAAUGCCAUCCACAAUGAGAUAAACACCAAACAGACCCAAAGCAAUGCCUAGGCCAGGGGUAGCCCUCCUCAAAUGACCGUUGAGAAUUGGGUGCUUGCGGUAUUCAUCCCGGGACUUGAAGAAAUCCCCCGUUGAAACGAGACUUCCCUUCCUCAAAUUUAAACCCUCGUUCGCCAUAGCUACUUGUGUCUCUAGGUGCCGCCUACAAGAGAUGCCCAAUAGAGAGUCAAUAGGUGACAAUGGAAAUGCCCAUCUAGCUCUCAAACUCCAAAUAAAAUCCUCUUCUGCAGAGAACCAAUUGCUACGAAACCUCCCACACAUAAUUCUCUUCCUACCGCUAACAUUACAAGCAAUACGUAGCUUUCUAACAUCACACUUCUAGAGUUUCCACUCCUACAAUGAGUUUGUGAGUCGAAUUCGUCAGAGCUAGAGGGGGAGUGUUGAGUAUCAGAUAUGCUCUACGGUUAGAACAAAGCACAGCACUGAAUGACAGAAACUAGGAGAUUUAAAAAAUUGUAAUCAAACAAAAACUACGUGACUCUGGAAGUCAGCUUUUAGACCUAAUUGGCAAUCGGGUCUCAACAUAACUACGCAACAGGACUGACAUCAACAAGAAGAGGCCCAGAGUAUCAUUGAGUACGCAGGAAGACCUACAAAAAAAUUCCCCGACCGUUCAGUGGGCACUGCGUGUGAUUCACAAUUAUGCAAUAGUUCCAAUCCUAGUAUAAGAGAGAAAACAUGAGAACAAGGGAGACGAGGCAACAACGAAAACUCACCGCAGCAAACCACUCUGACAAAACAAACCACAGAACAACAAGCCCAAAUGGCGCCUCGUGGGGACUUUCCUCCCAAUCUAUGCCACCCACUCCGAAGAGGUUGAAAUUCCACACAAAUCGCUCCUCUGAGCUCUAAACCCUAGAAGGCUUCGGUGAGUGGAACAAGAUAUGGAAGAGCAAACUUUGGAUGGGUUCUAUCCAGUUAACGAAAAACGACCUAAAAACGACCAUUUACAUCAUGCAAGUUUACAUACAUGCACACCAUCUAAAAACAGAUGUUUGUAUUGAGAAUGUUUUAGAGAGAAACAAGAGAAGCUAGAAGCAAUGAGCACACAAAAUAUACACACAUGAGAGAGCUUCUAAAAAACUAUGUAUUGAUGUGAUUGUCUCACUUGUUUAUAAAGAGAAGGGAAGAAGAUAAACAAUUUCUCUCUACUACAUUCUAAACACUAUAGCUACAAUAUUUAUUGUAACUACAAUGAAUGUUAUGGAGAAAAUUGGCUAUAUUUAAUGCUCUCAACACUCCUCUUUGCUCGUCAUAAUAUUUAUGUAACAUAAAAUUUGCAUAGAAUUAUCAUCUAUACUUUUCUAUAAUCUUGUAAGAUUAACAACUAUUGCCUCAUUAAAACCUUAUCUGAGAAAACUAUAUUGUAUUCAAAGACAACAACCAUAGAUGAAGGAAAAAGAAUACAACAUCAUUUUUUUUAUUAUUAUUUUUUUUAAUCAUUUAAAAAAUUCAUUAACUUUCUUGCUCAAGAAAAGCAAAUUGCUACAUGCCAAUGUUAUAAGUAAGUCGGCAAUGGUUGCUCAAAGGUAGAGCUUUGGUAAGAAAAUCAACAAUAUUAUUUUUAGAUUCAAUUUUUUUGAUCUUAAGUUCUUGAUCAAUAACCAAGUCAUAGAUAUAACUAAAAUAUUUUGGAUCAAUAUGCUUUGUCUUGUCGCCUUUAAUGAAACUAACUUGCAUUUGUGCAACACAAGCACUAUUGUCUUUAUGCAAAAUAGUUGAAAAAUCAUGAUAUGAAAGUCCACAAGUUGUCUGAAUGAGUUUAUCAAUUGAUUACAACCAAAUACAUUCCCAAGAUGCUUCAUAUAAGGCAAUAAUUUUUGCAUGAUUGGAUGAAAUUGUAGUUACAGUUUGUUUCAUUGAUUUCUAUGAUAUUGCAACUCCAUGUCUUAAGAAUACCUAACCUAUUUGACAUUUAGCUAUUGCAAUAUUAGAUUUAUAUCUUGCAUCACAAUAUCCUACUAAUUUUGGAUCUGCACAUUGUGUGUAAUAUAUUUCCAAGUCUUUAAUGCCUUUCAAAUAACAUAAUAAGUAUUUGAUGCCAUUCCAAUGUUGUAGUGUUGGAUGUGCAUUAUGUCUUGUAAGAAUAUUAACUGCAAAUGUAAUAUCUAAUCUUAUAAAUGUGACUAAAUAUUAAAAAGCUCCAACCACUGUGAGAUAUGGAUAUUGAUCUCCUAAUAUUUCUUCUUCUUCUUCUUCUUCUUCUUCUUCUUUGUAUGGACGGUAUGGAUUGUCACCAUCAUGACCAUGUCCAACCAUUGAUAUUGAUAGUAAAUAAAUAUCAAUCAUAUUAAAUUUCCGCAAGAUUUGUCUAAUAUACAUUAGUUGAUAGAUAAAAAUGCUACUAUAUGCAUUUAUUAUAUUCUUCCUUGCACAUUGUAUGUAAUAUAUCUGCACUUUGUGAGAUGCUUAAUUUGAAGAUCAAUAUAGAAAGUUGUUUUUCCUAGCAUUUUCAUCUCAAACUCAUAGAUAAGUAGGUUAGUAACUACAACGCAUGUAGAUCUAGUAUCUACUAGGUUAUGAUCAUCAACAUGUAUAGCAAUGAUGACAAAACCAAUUUUAUCUUGUUUGAUAAACAAACAAGAGAUUAGUAGAUCACUUACAAACUUAUUUGUAAUUAAAUAAUCUCAAAGACAUUGAUACCACAUGCAUCCAAAUCGUUUUAGAUUAUACACGGCCUUAUCUAAUUUAAUACCAUGAUAUUGUCAUAUAGUAGAUGCAUUUGGAGUUUCUAUUUCCAAACUAAAUGAAACUUUCAUAUAAGUAUCUGCAUCAAGAAAACCAUAUAAUUAUGUAGUUACUACAUUGAUGAAAUGUAUUUUAAAAGUGGCAUGGACUGCCAUUUUAAUAUAUUAUUGGAAUGCAAUUGAAUCUAUGAUUGAAAAAUAUGUGGAUUCAUAAUGAAUGCCAAACCAUUAGAUAAAUCCUUGGACAACAAGACAAGCUUUAUAGCAAUUUAUUUGAUCCUUAACAUCUCACUUGGAUAUUAAUACCAUCUUAUAUCUUACAAAGCUAGAUAUAAAAGUGUCCAUAAUUGGACCAAAGACUUUCUUUUUAUACAAAGAGACAUAUUCCUCCUUGAAGAUAUUUUUACAUUUUAACUAGUCAAAGUAACACAUUGUUUCCUCGAUGGUUUAAGGUUUAGGAUCCUCUUCUUUAUAAAAAAGAACUUCUAUAAUCAUGCAUGCAAAUGAUUCAUCUAUUAUAAUAGAUGGUCUAUCCCAAAUGUCAUUUCUAGUACAAUAUAAAAUAGAUAAUUCUAUACUCAACUUGGUUUUAUUCGUCUUAAUAUCAAGAUUUUUUAUUGUAUGAGAUAAAGAUAUAAUUUGCAUAGACAUAUCAUUAUUAAUUGAUGGUCCCAUAGGUUUAGUAGGAAUUUCCAUAGAAAUAAUAUCAGAAUUAGCGCAUAUUAUAGCUUUUUUUUUUUAUGUGGUUACUUAUCUAAUCCACAAGUCUUUUUAGUUUUUGAUAUUAUAACAUGAGAUGUAUUAGUUAGUGGUAUUGCAAUCUGAGUAGGUGUAUUUUUAGCCUCAUUAAUAGAAAUUCUUGUAAUCUAAGGUGCAUCAUUGAAACCAUCAAGUGUUUCAUCUACAAUCCAUUUUAGAUACAAAAUCUUAGCAACUUCAAUUUCAACCAAAGAUGUUCUAGGAUUAGGAUUUAUUGUAAACAUUUUUUGUGCUUUAAAUAUAAGUGUUGUAUUUCUUUGUUGAUUAGAUACUCUUCCUCAAAGAGAUGGAAAUACAUUCUCUUCAAAAUGAUAAUUUUGAAAAUAUAUACAUAAUAAUGUGUCAAUUUAUGGUUCAAUAAUAUAAAUAAUGCUUGGUGAAUCAAAACCAACAUAUAUGCCUUCUUAUCGAUGAGUUUCAAUAAUACAUUAUUGAGAUUCUAAAUUGGAAUCUAAGCAAAGAAACUAAACACUUGUAGAUGAAAUAUAUUAGGAAUAUAACUUAAAAUGAGCUCUUGUGGUAUAAUACUUUGAAGAGAAGAAGGAUGGAGGCAUAUUAAUGCUGCAACAUGUAAAAUUGCAUGACCUCACAUAAAUAGAGGUAAAUUUGCCUAAAGAAGGAGUAAUUGGAUAAUAAGUUGUAUAUGCUUAAUAAAUAACUCUAUAAGUCUAUUUUGAGCAUGUUCAUAUUGAACUCAAUAUGUUAACUCAAUUCCUAUUGCAAUACAAUAGUCUUCAAAAGCCUUUGAUAGAAAUUCUUUUGCAUUAUCUAUACGAAUGUUUUUAUAGGAUGAUGAGAAAAUGUGUCUUAAAACAAUAAAUAUAAGAUUGACAAAUAUCAUUUUUUGAGUUGAUAAUAAUGAAACAUGUGAUUGUUUGCUUAAUGCAUCAACAAGGAUCAAAAAAUAAUAAAAUAAUCUAGAUAUUGGAUUAAUAGGACAACAAAUAUUACUAUACAAUCUUUCAAGCAUUUGUGGUAAUUCUUAUAGAAGUUUUCAAAUGAAGGUUGAAAAAUCAUCUUGUUUUGUAUACAUGCAUGACAUAAUUCUAUAGAAUAUGCAUUUAUAAAUUUUAAAAUAUGCCUAGUUAUAUAUGAAAUUAUCUUUCAAAAUAAUGUAAAUCCUGGAUGUUCUAAUUGUUUAUGCCAAAGAGAAAUGCAACUCUCUAUGAUAGAUGAUGCAAAAUUACAUAUGAGAAAAGAUCAGAUUGCAAUUUGGUAUAAAUUAUUUAUUAUAGCAAAGGCUUUUUCAACAACUUAUGGAUUUGUGCCAAAAUCUCCCUCCUAUUUAGAAUGGCAAUUGAGAGAUGAUAAUCAUUGGCACACACAUCUUGGUAGGUAAUUAGACUCCAAGAUAUUGAAGGCGUAAACACUGCAUGUUUAUAUUUUAUGAUGGAACCUGCAGUCAAUUUUACCAUCACUAUUUCUUCAUGGAAACAAAAUGUAUUUUCUUUGGUGUUGUAUUACAAGUUAUCUUGUUUAGAAAUGCACUAGGCACCUAGCUCUAGAAGGUGAGGUUGUAUUUCAGAAGUAUCUAAGAAACCUUAAUAGGUUUCAUCCAUAUGAGAAGAAUAUAAUCUGAAUUUUAAUUCAAAAGUGCUAAAAAAUACUCUUCUUAGUAGCCUUAAUCAUACAUAAAUUCCAAUUACCUUGUUACUUUUAUAUUUAAGCAAUUUAGAUUUUUCUUAUAAGCCCCAAUCUUAAUUAGUGAGCUUUAAGAAGCUAUAACAUCUAAUCUAACCAUCCACUUGAUGUAAAAUUUUGCAUGCAAUUGCCAAUGUAAGUCUUUACCAAUGUCACUCAGCUGCCAACUUGAAAAGUGAAGUAAAAAUCUCAGUAGUGAUUUCUCCUUUUCCAACCGUUAACUUUGACUCAAAAUUGGGUUUUACCUGAUCUUUAAGUUCUUCAAGACGAUGUCAAAGUUCACUUUGAUCCAACUAGUAGAUCUCCAAAUAUCACAGAAAUCCUACCCAACUCCAAACUGCCAACUUCUGAAACCGUCUUGUGCUAAAAACUAGAUAUCUCUAAACCACGCCAUUAGAUUAUCUUAAAAUUUUGUAUACACUUAGCACACUCAAUAAUCCAAAUAGUAUCAAAUUUUGAACUGUAGAUGCUACACCAAUUACACGAACUAGCCAAAAUUGCUAGCCCUAAUUAUUUCAUAUAAAAUCCAAAUCACUAAUACAAAUCCUAAUUUUAAAUAACAAUUGCUAAGUCCUCAAAAAUCUUCUAAAAACAAUCCUUAUGCCUCUGAAAAGAGCUUCAAGCUAACUCUUAAACUCUAUCCUCCGAUCUUCAAAUGAAUUCCUAUUUUACCCUAGGCCAUCAUUUUAGUAGCUAGAGAUCUGAUUUCAACCCUGUCUCACAAACGGUCGACCCCCGAGUAUCAAUCUAACUUAUCCUAAGGAUUUUUUAGCCCAACCCUACUCUUAACUUAAUCCUAGUACCAACUAUACUACUUAUUUACCUCUUCUAACUUGAUUUUAUCAAUUUAUGGUCUUGCUAAGGUAGUAGAAGAGUCUCUAUAACCUAGAAGGUAAAAUUACUAACUAACCUUCAACCUACUAACUAUUAAAAUAAGAAAAUAACCUAAGAGGCUUUUAUAAAAGCCAUUUUUAGAUACCUCAAAUUAUAAUUGAACUAAGAUAAUUAGAUAUUAAUUAGAAAUUUAAUUUUAAUUAUAAUUUCACUAUAUAGUCGUAUUACAUCAUGACACUGCCCAUAGUUAUCAAAUUUUUAGUUUGCCAAGUUAAAGAUUUUUCAAUAAAAAAUCAUCUAUCCCGCAAGAUAGUAUGUAUUAUUGUAAAAUCAAUGAAUGCAUUAUUUGAUUCAUCAUUAGAGGUUUUUUCAUUCAUAUAAGCCUCUAAAUCAUCAAUACCAAUUGAGUCUAUGGAUGCAUCUAUGGUAUGAACUUCACAAGCUUCAGCUUGAAGUAUCUUAUUUUCUUUGAAUAUUUUAACAAAGUAUUUUGAAAUACAAUACAUGUGUGCUAAAUGUCCAAUUAUGCCAUAUUUAUAAUAAGAAUGUAUAUCUGAUUUUUAUUUUUUUAUUAUAAUUAGUAGUAGAAUGUUUAUUCUUUCUAUAUGGAUGGAAAUGGUCACAACUAUGAUUGCCUUGGUACUUAUGAGCAUCUUUUCUAUGUUUGUAUAAUUUUUUUCUUAGCCUUUGAAAUAUUAAAGUACAUGAAAUUCUGAAACCAUUAUUCCAACAAAUCAAGCUUCUAUAUUAUACAAAAGUAGCUCAUUUUGUUUCUCCACAAGAAGUAGAUAGGAUAUGAGAUGACUUUAAAUGACUUAGAAUGACUUUGAAAUUUCAUGUUUCUAUAUGGUUGUACAAGCACAAUAAAUGUGGAUGGAACUAUAGAGAGAGUUUUUUCAAUUAUUUCUUCUUUAGAGAUGCUUUGUCCACACAUCUGUAGUUGUAAGACAAUUCAAUACAUUUCAUCAUUAAAAGCAUUUAAAUUUUAAAAAUCCAAGAUGCAUAAAUGUGUCCAAUCAUGAUAUGCAGGUAGAAAGAAAAUGGUCUUUUGAUGAUCAAACCUAGAUUUAAGAUUCUUCAAAGCUUGGUUGGAUCUUCCAUUUCUAAAUAUUGAUGUUAUGAUGUAGGUACAAGAUGAUGACAAAGAAAAAGAAGUACUUUCCAAUGGAUAAUAAGAAGAAUAGAAGUACUUACAAUAGGAGAUUCUUCAAGCAAAAUUGAAUCCAAUAAUUAUUUUGCAAAUAGGUUUAUUUUUGCCAUUUUUUCCCAUAAAUGCUGGGAUGCAAAGAUAAUAGUUAGAAACAUAGUAGAGGCAGUUGAUGAUGUUGAAGCACUCAUUAUAAAUAAAUCUAUGAAGAAAAUACAAGAUCAAGUAGAAAAGCUUGAAUAAAAUAGAUCUUGAAAUAUAAAGUCAAAUAAAAUAAUAAAGUUGAACUUGAAAUCAAAAAUGUUGAAAUUCUUUGGGAAGUUUUUUUUUUUUUUUUUUUUUCACAACAACAAGGGUUUGCAGCAGCAGCAAAUGGCAACAGCAACUACAACAACGGAUGAUGGACAUCGACGAUGAUUGCAUACAGCAGAGUACAACAAUGGGCGGCAGUUUAGUAACAAGGUCGUGAAGGUAAGCGGGAGCAACAGCAACUAGCAAGGCACAGCAAACAGCAGGGAGGCAGGGCCAUGUAGGGAAAGAAAAAAAAAAAAAAUAAGGAGAAGGCGAAGGCAAAGGGCAAGGUGUACACAAGUUUUUAAGAACCAAGAAUAAUGCACAAGAGUGGUCCUACUGAUAACCAAUUGGAACAUUGCUCCUAAAGAAUUGGAAAUCAUGAGGUACUGUACAUUUUGGGAACUCUCUUCAGAUACUACGCACGGUGGAUUGAUCCUUUGGUCAAGUUGAUAGAUAUUCAUGGAAAAUGUCUAGGCUCCAAAUCCUACAAGAAUCAAUCUCUAAACUUGAAGUGAAAACUGUCGUGAAGACUUGCUGUGGAACUCUGGACUUGAGUGUUGACAUGGAGGCCUAGAAAUGUCAUAAAGAUGCUUCACAUAGGUAAAUUAGCAUCGUAUCUCUUAUGUACAUGAAUUUGUGAUGGGUGGCUUACCUGCUGAGAAUAUCCAUGAGAAAAGUCAUACAAUUACAGGGUGUUUCAUUUCGUUUAUGUACACAAAUUGAGAUACUGCUCUACCAGUCUUGUGCAGGUCAGAAGGGUCUGAUCAGUUAGGAAUACUCAACGUCAUAUAACAAAUUUUGCACGUACAAUACAUCGGAUUAGAUUUCUAAAGUUCUUGCGACCACUCUCAGAUGAAUCCUUGCACCACUUAAGAAUGUAUAAAGUAGUGGUCACCUUGAACAAGAACCUGCUAGGAACCCAUGUGUGGAUCACCUUCAAUAAAUGAAUAAUAAGGGUACAACUAAGAACUGGCAUCUUACUCAAACUUCGCCAUGAACGUACGUACAACCAAUAACCCAGCACACUUAGCUUAGGAUGCAAGGGGUUUGAGAGCUAAAACGUGCAAGAUUAUCAGAAAACAUGAACUUUCUAUCACUACAUUUGACCGACUAUCGACUAAACAGUGAAGUGAAAGAAACGUUGCAAUCUGCGUUUGGAUCUUCAAUGCAACGGCAGAAAGCCUCCUCGUCCAUAGGAAGUACGGCAGGAAGAGGGCGAUCUGGUGUGAUACCCACCUGCAAUCAUUCAUUGGAGAAACCACAACAUCAUGUACAGAAUUAGCUUCGCAAACUCUCCAUAAACGAGCAUUUUCGAGAAAAUUGCCGCCUUCUGAACUACAAUAACAAUAGUGAAGAAAGGCAACACAAACUCCUCAAAUCUACAAACAGGUACGAAAUAAGAUAUCCAACAAGUUGACGAGGGGAGUAAGCCUUUCUUGUGGUCAUUCAGAAACCUAAAGCAGAUACCAAGGUUCAAUCAUCCAGUUUACUCAACAAAAUUGAAUUCAAUGGUAAGAGGAGAGGUGGAGCACCUUGUCAAUGUUGAUGUGAGCAGGAGUUUCGUAGCGAGCAAUGGUUACGGCCAUGCCUGAACCAUCAGACAACUGAAACACGGACUGUAUUCUCCUGCUCGGCCAGUAGUCAUGAAUUAGAGAAGAGACUAGAGAUGUGUGACUAACAAAAAAAAAAUGGAGAUAAAAUGAUUCUAAACGACAGUCAAUACUAACCCUUUUCCAAACGUGGGUUCUCCAAGAAUAACAGCUCGUUUGUUGUCCUUAAGAGCACCCGCUAGAAUUUCACUAGCACUCGCUGUGCCCUUGUUUACCUGGCAUCAAAUAUCCACAAAUUUCCUGAAAAUAUGUAUACUACAAGACGUAUGAAGAGCCUCCUUCAGAUACAUGAGGUACUGAUGCGGCUUUCAACACAAGACAAAAACUUGAAAUCCACAAGAUAAUCAAAUUGCUUACAUAUAAAAACUUCUACAAUUAAUGGUGCCUCAGAGCAAGUUAAACUGGAAAGAGAUACUUGAACCAGCUUACAAGUACAGCUAGAGGCUCUUUGGUAGAGAUAGCUGAAUCCCCAUCAGUAUCAUAAAUAUCUCGAACGCCCAUGCUGUCUGCAAUGUAGACAAUGACGCCUUUGUCUAGCCUGGUGACAAUCCAACUACAAGCUUAGAAUCAUCCUGCAAAAUUUCUGUUGAAGAUACUUGGUAGAGAAAUACCAAGAAAACAUUCCCUUUCAUACUUCACUGUAAAAUCAGUCCUGACUUGCUACGACUAGCUAGCCGAAAGACAUCGGAUGACAAUACCAAACACUUAAAUCGGCGACCGACUACAAUAGUAAACAGAUACUGGGUCAACGCAAAAUGAGUUCUUAUAACUUACCACAUCUUUGCAAUCUCGACUCCAGAAGGAAACAGGCCACCACUGAAACACGACACAACAUCCAUGUCAAAGAUUUCUAUAAAAGAAAAAUGUUCAUAACUGGUAAACUGAGGCGAACAAGAAUACUCACAAACAUGCUGGACAGAGUUCUAGCAGGGACACUUCUUUGCUUACUGCUGAUUUGAUAACUUUCAGACUAUUGCAAGCAUGAACCCUUGUGCUUUUUGGUCACGUUAGACAAAUGUUUCAACUAAGCAUUAUCAAACCAAGCCUAAUGUUAGCCAUUCAGAUCUAACUGUUCUAAAAAGUUGUGUCAGCUCUAGUGUUGCCUGUAACAUGCAGAGUUGAUAUAUAGUAAAACCUGUUAUUACGAAUGUCGAGUAUGAAUGCGGCUGCCCCACUCUCCUGCAAAGUCUCGAUAGCUUUCUUUACAGCACCUAAUUUGUAAAAAAAAAAAAAAAAAAAAAAAAAAAAAAAGAAACAAACAAAAUUUAUCAGAAUACACCGCUAAAAUUUAGAAAAAGUGCGCUCUAUCAAUCUCGAAGCAUAGGAAACUGACUUUUUUUGCAAGACUUUGAUGGAAUUUUAAAACAAGCAUCAAAAGAGGAUGUCUCAGAGAACCAUGUUGAAGUUGUCGUCAUGGAGCGCAAGUAAGAAGUUCAAAUAUUAAUUCACAUGUGAAGUCAAACAAGAGAGCAUCGUGGACGUACUGGAGGAAUUCUGAUUGAAGGUGGAGAGCCGAAUAUAGCCCAACUUUAAUGGAGCCGAUCCGUCAUUUUGUUUCAUUUCACACAAUCGCCAAGUGACUGGGUUUAGCGUGAUCUUCUCUCUCCUGUAAAAACAGUGGAGGGUUUAGCGGCUAGAAAUCCAGUUAUACAGUUUUAAAUGGGAUCGCUCAAAAACAUAAUCACUUACAUCGAAAGCGGUGAUGGAGCUUACAAGACCGUAAUAGUACUUGGUGUUGUAGCAUCUUUCUUUAGUAGCGUCAGUUCAACUUGCGAUUGUACAGGACCCCUGUUAUAAAAACCAGAGAGAAGUAUCAAAUAAAAACCUACGAUAAGUAAAGAGAUAAGAAACCUGCGUCAUUCUCAGGAAACAUUGUCUAGUCCCAUAAAAUGAAUGCAAAGGGUAGUUUUGCAUCUGACACAUAGACAUUCCCUACACUUGCGUUAUCCAAUUUCGUUUAGAAGCCCAAUCAAUGUGACAUUUUGUUGCUUUCCUUCAUAAAUCUCAAUGGUCAACUUACUGCAGACGCCUUGCUGCGUCAUAAAGACCCAUGCCAUGGGUUGGGACACCGUCAAUAGCUGUGAUAACAUCCCCUGGAAGUACUCCUGCACGCGCGGCAGGCCCCCCCGAUACUGGGGAUACUACCACCAAAUCUGUAUUUGAGGUACUUGAAUCGCUUGUGUUGAAACCAACUUCCAAUCCAACCCCCGUCACAGCACCAUUUGUACCUGACUGCUUGUCAGAUAUCACAUAAGGCACUUCAGUUAGUAGAGAUUUAGUUAGGAAAGAGGAAACAAAAACACAUAUUAAUAAAGUAGAAGAAAAUCCUCGUUUUUUGAACAGAUAAGCAUCUAAAUUGAACAAAGCACUUGAGAAAAGCUGCCACCGGUUGGUAACAGUUCUUGGAAAUCGUUAUUUACCUGCAAACUUUUGAACUUCUCCGGCUCCAAAAAUCGGGUGAAAGGGUCGUCCAGAGUGGCCAGCAUCUUUCGAAUGGCUGCGUCUGAGCAACCACGGUAUGCACAGAGCCAAUCCUGAUUAAAAUUGAGUCAGCUUAAUCCCCAGCUGCUUGACAUGGAAGAUGAAUACGCACAGAACGGUAACAUCAUCCAUGUUUACAAUAAAGACCCUAAACGCUAUUUCAAAUGAAGGUACAUUGCAGAGGAGAUAAGAGCAGUGACCAAAAAUUGUUUGGAUUUGAACUCAUUCUGCAUGCUACUCAAGGGAAUAAAUCUGUUGGGGGAACUGUGAUUUAAUGCCUACCCUAAGUUAUAAUCAACUUAUGACAAUUUCAACAUCAAGAUUUGAUUGGAUAAAGGAGAAGAACAAGACCGUACAAGUUUCCUCUCGUGUUUUCAUGGGCUCUUUCUUUAAAGCGUCUUCCCGGUACCUAAACCAGCUCUGACCAUUAAAGGAUUUGUCCACAUAAGCACGAUCAACAGUUCGCCAUGCCUCAAGAAAGAGGAGAUUUUCUUCUGUCAACGAUACUGGAAGCAAGCAAAGGGUAGCCUUGUCAAUACGUCACGUGCAAAUGAACCACAAAGAUUGAUCACUACACCUGCAGCUAGACUACCGUUAAUAAUCAACAACGCAAAAAAAAAAAAAAAAAAAAAAAAAAAAACACUGUUAUCCACUUCAUAAAAUCACCACACUUGGUGGAAUAAAUUGAAGAACGAACAUACAUGAGGGCUGAAGUGCAAAGCUGGCUAGAGCUCCAGUAACGAUCAAAGAACUGAGGAUGAAAACCAGGCCACGCCUCUUUAUCGAAGCUUGCCAAUGAGACUGAAACCCCGGCCAAAAUACAAAUUAGGCAUUUAUCUAUAAAGAAUCUUUUCACUUGCACUUCGUGAUACGUAGGUUUAUAUUCCUUCAUUCAGUAUGCAUGAUGAUGACGGAUUACAAAUGCAAAUUCUCACCAAUUGCUCAGCAACUUCCCCAGCAUCGAAGCUUUCAAGAGCUGCAGGUAGACACCACAGCUGCCUUCCCCACCUGAGCGCAGUGACUCUCUGCUUCCGACCCCACCCACAGAGCAGCGAGGCACCCCCUGACAACUCAUUUGGCCUAUCCGAGCUUGCCGUUGUAAGACACACUUGCACAGAAUGAUUUUGCCUCAAGAAGACCCGGGCACUUUCCACACUCUCCUUGACUGCUCUACACGGACCCUUCCUCAUCGCCAAACCCUGAAAAAGUAUCCAAAAAUCCUCAGAGGUAACACAAUGCCAAAUAAGAAAUCAACUUUUCUCGUUCUCACGCCGGCCUAAUCGUUGAAAACUCAUUCUACCCUCGUGAACUCAUCUACUUGCUCAGAAGUGGAAAAUUCUGCUUCUCACAUUAAGGAUGAGAGUGGAACACAUGGAAUGUGCAUUCUGUGAAAGUAGCUCCCAAAAGAAACCUGACCGUGCCAUAAUUCCGUCGCAAUCACUCUGUAGAAUUAGUAAGGUAGCCUUCGAUCCCAGCAAUUCAAGUUACGUUCUCAAAAAACCCACAAAUUCAGAAGACCUCACAAACUACACCCCUGUCCACCAAAAUAAGCGAACAACCAAUUCGACACAUUCUCGAAGUAAUACACUCAGCUAACAUCGCGUAAAACCCUUGACUCCAGAGGAACAAUUGCAGCAGCAAACCUGCAGCGUGGCAGUGGGUGGUGAAGAGGACGUUACGCCGUAGCGGCACACGACGAGAGAGGACGCCAUUCCGGAGGGGCAGUGGAGGGCUUCUGUCAUGUCCCCUCCCUCCCUCUACCUUACAAGCUCCCCGGAAUCGAGAAGGCUAUUCAAGGCAAAGAUGAUUUCAGAACAGGGAGAAGAGAAAUAAGUUGGUUUGGACUUGACGGAACGAUGGCGCGCACCUGAGCCCACGAGUGACGAGAUAAACAAUAUGAUAAUAAGACUCUGGUGAAUGGUGAUGCGGUUUAGAGCCUCGCACCCACGCCAACCACCAUCGCUGCCUGCUGCCUCCCCGUCACAGACUUUUUCAUUGCUUCAAUCUGCGAUGCACUGAAGAAACUUCGUCUCUUCCCAUAGAUUUUGUCGUUUAUCUUUACAAUUUUACAUCGAUUGCAUGGCCUUUCAGUGGAUGUUCCAGCACUGCAACUUGAAAAGUGGUAUAUUUGUUGCUAAUAUUAGUUUCCAGUUCAUGAGUCCUCAACAUUGAAUUGCUGCUUCUCUCAUGGAAAAACCCAACAGCAUGGAAAUACAUCACUGCGCGUUUCAAAGCGUGAUAACCAUUUUAAAAGUCAAUGUUUACGAUCGAAAGUAGUCAAAGGUCUCUCAAACGUCAGGGUUACUCUGAAACCAUUUGAAAGUUUCAUCCCUUGUCACCAACACAUUGAAAAGUGUAGUAGACCAAAACAUAGGUUUACAAUUUGGCUUGAUUUGCCAUUUACCAAAAACAUGAGAACAGCUGAUCAACAAAUCUAAGACACAACGACUUGUGCUGUCUGGGUUACUAAUCAAUGAUCAUCAGUAAGCCAAAUGACAUGUAGGGAACAACGCCAAGGUUUCCUGUAAGAUACCAAUUCAUCUCACACGUCAUUGAGAUUUUUUUGAAAUUAUCAGCAGUCUUCAAACGAUCGAGAGAACCACGGGUAAAAAUAGCGAGAGGAGAAGAAGAAAGGAAGAAAGGAAGAAAGGAAGAACCACACGCAUGAAGUUGCAGAUACAGAAAUCCUAAACCAAGGAAAGCAACCCUGAGCAACAAGUCCGUUGAAACAUUUAUUUUGAGGCAAUUCCAUUACCAGAACCUUGCGAAAGGGGUUUCGUUUUCUCAGGCAGCUUUUAAUAUAAGGGGCCCUAUCCAAGGGCUACCGCCUUCAGGGGCAAGGAACCUCCAUAAACAUGAUCGGAGGUGGAUCACUUCAGACAAACUCAAAAAACCCUUAGAAAACGUUGACACAAAAUUACAGCGACAUUCUAAUUGUAGUAAAAACUAUCCACUUCGCGAGUUGUGCGGAGGCUGGUUAAAACUUGAGUCUAUCCAUAUGCAGCGGAGAUGGGAUUCACUGCAGCUAAGGGAUUGAUUUGUACACUAAAUGCUAACUGCCAGAAGUCACGUAUUCCUACUCCAAAGGAGUUAAUUGCUUUGCCUAUAAACCUACACAAACACACAAAGAGAGCGAAUCAACUUAACAGAGGUAGAUUAGCAGGAAUCGAGGCUUCCAGCAGUAUUUAAAAAAAUUCUCACAAAUAAAACUCCCACAUAUAUAAAGGCUACAAGCAUACCUAACACAGGGAUGCUAAUGCAACAAACGAAAUACAGCAGAAAAAACGACAGAUAGUUGCACAACAGAAAAUUAAAUGACAGAUAACCAUGGUCCACACACCUUCUCCAUGUUGGAAAGUGUCUGAGGAAGAAAAAUAGUGCUACAAGAGCCCCAAAGCGUAACACAUUCCCUUCCAGAUGCUCUGAAGAAAGAGGAUGCCAUGCUGAAGUAGCAGCGCUCACUCGUGCGAAUGCCAGCUCCAGCAGCGUCUUUAGAGAGAAAAAACCUUCCGAGACGUUUAACUUCUUCAACAAAGCCAUAGAUUUUGAACUUAUCGAUGAAUCAUCAGCUGCUUUACAAGUAUUCAAUUGACAUCUUGGGUCGCUACUUUCUUCUGUUUCCAUAUCCUUCACUGGUUCUUUUAUGUGAAUAGAUUCCAGCACGGCGGUUGGGGUGCCAGAAUUUAAACUUGAGGUGGACUCGGCAAUUGGCUUGAGGACCACUUCAGCAAAUUUGGCUUGUUCUAUCUGCAACUGGAUUUUCUUCAACAGAACCUUCGCAAAAACAUGCAAGAUUGAGAAUAUGAGACUAGAAAUUACCAUAAAUUUUUACAUCUGCUUCACAACCAGGGCCAAUAAAAGCAGAAAAAAGCGAGAAAGAAAAUCUUUAACUUGAAACAUGACCAGAAGACCUACCGAACGUCUGUCCUGAGUUAAACUUGCACGUUUCACCCAGUCCAAUGCAUGCUCAGUUUCCUGAAGCCCUUCUGCAAGCACUUUGAUGACGUAGAGUUCCACAAUUUCCGCAUAUGCCUCUUCCAAUAAGCACAUACUCCGAAAAGCCAGAAAUUCUUCAAGCGCAGCUCGCGCGGCCGGAAACGCGCCAUCUGCUACUUGCAAACAGGCCCUGAGGACACAAAUGUGUUACAAUCCUCACUGUUUCCACAUUUUCAAAAAACUUAAAGGGGGGGAACACGGGUGAACCUUGAAAGUCAAGUGUAAUCAGAGGCUCUUUAAAUUCCGGCUAUAUAAAAAUCUCUCAAAAUCUUAACACUCGUCUCCGGUUACCACCAACGAAGCACACAAAACGUAAUACUUACUUGCACUUAAGCUGACGAAAGAAUAAUGGAAAAUCAGGAGAUAGACCACAAGAUAUGAAGCCAACUGUGAAUGCAAAGGGCAUCAAUUGGGAACACACCCUAUUUCGACAAGAAAUGGUGGCCAUUCAGCAACUCCAACAUUAAGCGCUUUGAGUGAAUCGAAAAAUUCGCCAACUCUGCAACCAACCACAAGCAGACAACCUAACAACUUUCAAUAACUCAAUCCCAUAAGGUACAUAAUCUCCAUGGAAUCAAACAGCAUAUUAGUUACAACUACGUAAACGACGGUUAUCACUUCAGAUAAAUAAGAGAACAAAUGAGUGGCCCCAAUUCUCAGGUCCGCAUGCAAACAUAAGGCACAAUUGUAGAGUUGAUAGAGAGUACACACAACAAAAAAGGGAUUCGCAUACCUCUUUGACAAAAAAACAACUGGAAUCGGAACGUUUUUCUUACACUCACCUGCCUAUUGCACGGUAGCUCUGAAGCAAUACCAUGCCCGCACACUCCAACAUUUCUUCAUGUUCGGACUUGCCAACCUCAGCAUCUUCUGUAAUAUCCUCCCUAUCACUGCCGCAGCUUUCUUCAUGGUCGCUUAAGUGCAUGAGACAGGAUAAUGUUUGCAGGAUAGUCGUAGCUGUUGAGGCUGCAUCCUGAUACAUGGCGCUAACCAAGAACCUGUCUCCACAUGACAGCAUGCUUGCUAAAUUGAAUUCCUCGAGAAUAGCUGCAAGAGAUAUAACACUGACUGCUAACGCAUUGACUAGGAUGAUACUCUUCCAACUUGAGCACAACGUAGCAUUCAACAGCACAUUGAAAAAUCGAAAAAAUUCUGGAAGUAGGUGAAGAUGAUAGAAUUUAUCCUCAACUCUGUGAGUGUCCGCAAUGCUGACACAAAAUCCUCCGUAAUCUAAAACUCAUGUUUAAAGGGAAUUUUUGUGCUUAGCCUUCGGACCUACAACACACUAUAUAGAUCUACGAGAAGCACCUUCGACGCGCUAACCCUAGCAGAUCGCCCACGUCAGUAAUAAUUCACAAAGAUAUCGAAAAAAAUGUACCUCUCGGCCAAUUCAAUUUUGUUCCAGAUCAGAUCAGCCGAGCAAUUAGCAUCCACAGCAGAGGGCGAAAAUUUGAAUGCAGAAUAGGAGGAAUCCCACGGCAUGUCCUCCUCACCUUCAUCACCCAGCUCCUCUUCACUCACCCCAACCUCGCCACCCUUCUCGAGCUUUUCCAUGGCUUCAAUAGCUUCUUCCUCCACAAUCUCCACCGCCAUGAUUUGACACCUGACCUAAAGCUCGAUCACCUCCUUUCGAAUCAAAGCUUAACGAUCCACAUACUCCUCUUACCACUUCUUCUACAAAUGCACGACCUCGAACCCUAAAAUUCAGUAUCACGCCAAAACGCGAAGCAAAGCAAUUCAGGUGUGCAGGUGACGGAAUUUUCGGCAUCGAAGAGGAAUCCUGCAAGAACUGAGCGUCAUGACAUGAAAAAUGAGUAUGAGAAGCAUAAACUCAGAGGCCAAAUUGCGCAACGAUUGUAGAAUUGCCCACCGCUGCACGUCCACAAACACACACACACUGCAAAUGUCUUCCCAUGCCGCUCCGGAGAGACUGACUGACGAUUCUGCACCGAACCCACCAUCCUGAUCCUUUUUCGUUCUGGGUUCCGGAUAAACUUUACCGUUACCUUUAAAGUAAAACCUGCCGCGACCUCAGCACUUCCCCGGGCUCACGAUCCAGAUAAAUGUGGGAACUGUAAUUUGAAGACCACGACGUUCAUCCGCCUUCAUCCGAGGUUUAAGAUGUGCGAGACGAAAGGGGGUGGAAAGUGUUUUAUUAUACAUGUAAUUUGUAUUCUAUGAAAUCAAAAUCCAGAAGGUUUGUUGAUGUUUUGGUUAAAGUUUACAGGAUUCAUGGAUACUAUUGUCGAAAAAUGUUAUAACCGCAUUUCGGUUUAAAUAUAGGGGUAAUUCUUGUUUCCUAUUUUUUUUUCUCCCUACAUGCCGAUAUUUAUAUAUACGUAUCUUGUGAAUAAUACUAAACUUGUUUUUGUAACAGAGACCAAAUUUCGAACAAUUCAUACCUCACAACAGUACUUUUAACGCAUGGGAAUAUAAACCUUAUUGACUGUAAGUGCAAACAACGAGGUACAUGGCAAGGCGAGGAGAUUGCCACCCUAAGAAAAAGGGUCCCUAACCAAUGUUCAUCCAAAUAAUACCACAAAAUAAAAUGUUUAAUUAUGGAUGUUGAACAAGGGUGAUGCAACGUUCUACCAUUGCACCCACUAUGUCCAGAGAUGAUAACAAACUACUGGUAGGGGUACCACGCGUGUGGGUGCCCGCGAAGGCGAGGCGGCAAUACACCCCCUGACGGGCCGCGCCGUUUGUGAAAAUCAGACUGCAGUGAGUGAGAGAGUCAGUAAGUUUAUGAAGGUGUAUGAGGAUGUGCUAGUGUGAAAUUAGAAUAAGAUAAAUUUGUGGUGAAGCAUCAACAAUCCAGAUGACACGAGACAAGUUCUGAUGAGCUCGAAUGCUUCACAUGAGUAAAAAGCUGGACCACCUUCAAUUAUCUUCGCAAAGAAGGGCAUAAGAGACCCGAUUACACCCCGAGCAUCAUCGGCAUUUGAUGCUCAGAGGGGGAGCUCUUCUCUACAACACACACUAGGGUAGUUGUGAGUGUAGUCCAUGUGCACAACUAGGCUGUGAAUCAAAGGGCUGGAGGAGAAGGCUGUGCACGAGAUAGGUUGCUCUAUAUUGGGCCCAACUUGCAAGUGAGGGUUGCAAAAGUGUGAGCUUUAUCUUCAGAAUUUUCCUUGCUUGAUGGCAUCGGCGUUUGCGUCACCGAGGGCAGCGGAAUUCAGGUAUUGCUCUGCAAGUUGGACUCGCUUCACGUUUUGCUGCUCUUGCACCAACAUUUGUCCAUACUCCAUCAGCUUCUCGAUGGUCAUGGCGGGCUUCUUGAAUUCCGGGGGGCCAUCCUUGGAGUUUACCAAGUUCUUUCCGAGGUUCUCCACUCCGGUUGCUGAAAUCCAGUUCCUAACCUCGUCGUCGUACACUCGGGCCCUCAAAGCGCCGAAGAAGUCUGCAUGCGGGAGAGAUAGGGUCAGUUUUUUCUGAGUUCUGAAGUUCGUAAUUAGUACCCAGAUCAUUCCGAAAUUGCGGUGUUAGAGGCAAAUGGGGGGUCGCUGGAAGCUCACCGAUGGAUUGCCCAGGAAACAUAUCGACCAUCUUGGUGACGUUGUCGUCGCUGAUGUUGUCCAAUCUGAAGAUACCCUUGCACACACCAAUUCUGUCCUCACGGGUGGGCGCCCAGUAGAACUUCUCCAUACGCCCAUCACGGAUCAGGGGUGCGUACAAAGUCGAGAAAUCGUUUCCGGUCACGAUGAUUGGCACACGAGGGAUCUCUUCCUUGUUGUACACUCCGGGCAGCUGCACGUUGGUGGGGCUGUCGGCGAUGUUCAUGAGGGUGGCGUUCACCAUCUGGUUGUUGACAGUGUAUUGGGUGGUACCUCCCAUACGUCCAGCACCAGCGUCGAGAUCGUUGAUGAAGAGACAGCACAUCUUACCCUUCUGGAUGAUGGCUGCAGCUUCCCUGUACCUCUGCCUGAUGAGCUUGGCGGGUUCUCCGGCGUUUCCAGACUCCAAUUCUCCAGCACUCAUCAUGAUAGGGCUGCAGACAUUGUCUUAAUUAAAUUUUGCCCCAGCGCCAUAGAGCAAAGUUUGAAAGUAACGAAGUCAUCGAAAUGUUUUACUCAAAGUAAGUGUCUGUGACAUGAAAGAAAACGGGAAACAAUAAGUUCAAACACAUGGAUAACCGAAAGUCGAUGGGACACGUCGAAAGUAUUUCACAUGGAAUCGCUACAACCGUUUGUCGGAAAGGUGAUUACCGCCAAGCGACCACCAGAAACAACGAAGUAACCAUCAAAAGCAGUGCAUGCUUUCACUUACUGGCACAUAGAGAUCUCGAAGGACAACGUAACGAGGCUGCUUAGCAACCCCCGUCCUGAACUGCAUAUCUUAAGGAACUCCUGAAGUAAGCAGAAGUUUUUACUCACUUGAUUCCGAGCUUCUUCAUGACCAGCUCACUCUGGAAAGACUUUCCCUGACCCUUACCACCCCACACGCCGAGGAUGAGAGGAACCUUAAUGCCCGGUAAGUUCAUGAAGUUCUUGCAGACGUGAAUCACCAGCUUGUCCAUGAAAGCAGGCGCAAUGUACAGCCCAUCACUCGUGUUGUCAAAGUUGUAACUGCACAAUUCGCAACAUCCGUCGUAGCACUUCUGUGAGCACUAGGAAUGACCAAGUUCUCAAGGCCCACUGCAUACCGCAAACUUGACUCAAGAACAGACAUGGUGCAAAACUAUCACAAAUUCGAGUAACAAGCAUAUUGUUAAGGAGAAGCCCGCGUACGUCCGUUGUGCAGUGCUAACGUAGUCCCAGGAGCUCAUGGUCACAACCUGGGUUCCGAGGCCCGUAGCGCCCUGGAAGAGGGCGUCCACCAUACCCUUCCCCCGCUGGAUGUCUUGCUGGUCAUCGGAGAUGUCAUUGCCGAGUCCAGCCCACCUGUCCACCUUCUUCUUCUCGCCCUCGGCCUCGCACACAACACGGCUCUUGCCCUUGGCGACGCCGAGGGUCACAUUUACGGAGACCUUGCUACUGCACCCGAACAGCGCAGAGCUUGGUAGAGUGCUCUUGCUAGUUGCCUGCGCACUAACUGAGGCCUGCACCUGCACUCCAACCAUGACAUGUUAGGAAUUUCCUAUUUAUGGUCACCACCAGACGCUGAGAUUCAAAAGGAAAUCACCCUCGGCUUAACACCGCUGCCAUGUAUCCUAAAUUGACAACGAUUACACAUAAGAACGAAAAGAACAACAACAACAACAACAACAACAGGUUGAGGAAGGAUGUCCGGAGAGAAGAGUACCUUCGCAACGGCGAUGGACUGCAUAACUGCGCAGCUGGAAGCCAUAAGGGCAGAUCGACUGAAGAUGCAAACCCAGCAAGAGCAGAACUAUUUUCUGAGACAACGCUGCUGAUCAACCUUCAUGCAAUCGAAUCCGAUUCUGAACUGCAGAUAGCGGCUCAGUAACCUUAUACCAAGUAGACAGCCUCCGAACGCGCGCCGUGUGGACAGAAAGGAGGAGGAGAUAGAACGCCAGGGCCAAUUGCGACAAAGCAACCCGCGGGGAGAUAUUUGCUUGGCUGCAAACCUCUUAAGCCACAGCAGUCGUCAGAUACCCGAACACAAAGUAAAUAACAGAAAUAAAAUUUACGGGGGAAAUAAAAACGGAAAGUAAAAGAAAUUCGCAACUGGGUAAUGGCAACAAUGUGGCAGAGUUCGCAGGAAUUGGCCGAGCACCGGAUAAGGCAAGCACAAUGCAAUUCUGCUGCACUUAGUGCCGCUAUCUCUCACUUCACCGCGACCACAAGCUGUGGCGAAUGUGGGUCCCGCAAAGUGGCGCUUGUGCUCUUUUUGGGGUAUUAAUUCUUCAAGUCCAGGCAGGCAAUCGAUGCAAGCGAGGCGCGAUGCUCCCGUUCACUCAUUCAUUCAGUCAGUCACUCAGUAAAUGGAGGCUCAUGGACGAGAGGGUGAGUUCCAGAGUCUCACUCGUCCGUUCCGCCAUCGCCCAACUUGACCCCGCAUCGAUUGCUCCGUUGUGGAGAGUGUGCUGGAGAGAAAGAGGGAGGGAGAUGAUGGAAAGCUUCAGGAAUAAAAGUAUUCUCAAGCUUUUUCCCCAGACAUUUUCCCCAAUAGUAUUUUUAUUUUUAUUUUUUGGGAUUCCAAUCUCACAUUUAACUUUUGUAAUGGUGAUUUUUUUAAUUAGAUGGUAAUAUUAAAAUAGAAUUGGAAUUUUGACAUCUUUUUAGUUUGAUGGUUGUACAAUAUUUGGUGUUAUUACAUCCAAAUCUUAUUACUUUUCAAUUUGUUUGUCGUUGUUAUGCAUGCUUCUAAAGUCAUGUUUUAAACAAGAUGGUAAUAACAAAAUUGGAUUUUUUGCAUCCAAUUCUUGAUUAGUUUUUAUUUAUUUAUAAUUAUUGUGCAUAUUUUUAAUGUCAUGUUUGAUAUAAAUAAAAAUUGAUUUUAAUUAUUUAGUAAAGACUUUUUAGGAUUAGUAAUUAUAUAACCAUUGAUUACAAAACGAAAAUUCUAUUACAUUUAAUUAAAAUUUAACAAUAUAAUUAUGGAAGACAUUGAUUUUUAAACAAAAUAUAAAAAAUUACAAUAUUGUGUGCAAAAAAAACAUAAUUUAUUGAUAUUCUUAUUAUAUUUUGUUGAAAUAUUUAAUAAAAUGGAGAAUAAGACACAUAAAUUAAAACAUCUUUAAUUUUCUUUUGUUACGUAAGAUCCAAAUAAUCAAAUUGUUAUGAACUGUUUGAGUUGUUAAAAAAAUCUGACUUUAAAAUGCAAUUGAAAAAGCACUUAUCACAUUUGGAAUUUUAAAUUAGCUAUCUACAAAGUAUUAAACUUAUACGAUAUGUUGUUGUAGUACGAAAUGGAAUUACUGAUUAGUAAUAAAACAAUUAUUCACUAAAGAAUUUAAUGAAUAUGCAAUUGAACUAAAUAAUCCAUGUACUACUGAGUCGCUCACGCUGGUUAUACUUACGCAAAUUUUGAAAACAACUUUGCUGAAGUAACAAUGUUUUCAUGAUUUCAGCGGAACAGUUACAUACAUACUAUCGUUUAUUGGAACAAACCACAUUAUCCACUUCAACAAUUUCUUCAUUUUAGCAAUUACACUUUGUAGGCAGUCAUCAACUACAACAAGAAAAAUCUCAUGAUCACAGACAAGCCGCAAUCUUUUUACAGUCUACACAAACUAUUUUUCCAAUGUAUAUGUAUAUAUGUAUGCACACAUUGUUGUGUACCGAAGUAGUUUCGGUUCAAAAUCUAUUCAGUGAAUGGUACAAAAUAGGUCACUGUAUGAGUGAAAACAACCGUUCUCAAUUGAACUGGAACAGACACUGGAAGAUUAUUUCUAUUUGUUCACAAACACAUUUCUAUUUGUAUUCAUACAGAGGUUAUAUUGACUGCUUUUCAUUAGUUCAUUAGUUGCGUUUAAAAUUAUGGAGUAAAUUUAGGUAUGAUCGCGCAGAGGGUAUAAAUUUAUUCCGCUGUAUUCUCUGAACAAAUCAUGCAGCUCCACUAGCAUUCAGUAUACAUUCAGUGAUGAUCGUUAGUAUUCACCGUUUUCAACAAAGAGAAAGUAAAAAUUAACUCAAAAAGAGGUGUGUUGCCGACGAUGAACAUUCUGAGAGGAGAAUGACAAGACAUAAGUCAAUGUGUAGUUGUAAAGCAAGACAACAUCGCAGGCAGCGAUGAGAGAAGUUGCACACAACCAUGACAUAGCGACACAAACAUGAGGUGAUUCAAAAAUCAGUUGUAUUAGGAUCACACACUCCGCCUGCAAGUGCCAGGCGUAAAAGUGCCUCUGCUGGAAACGACACCGCUACGCGAUGUCAUUGAGCUAAUUCACAGCAAAUACAUUUUGGUACAGAAUGGACACCUCCAGCUGCAGAAUGGGCACUCCAUUUCAGUGCGAGGACUGGGAACAGGGAGAUAUGGCAAUCCUUCACUUUCAUGCACGCAGGAUCACUUCAACACACCCAAGGCACUAGAUUCCACAGGACGCUGAGAUCAGUGCUAGUCUCAUGUCCUGGACACUUUGCAUCUCUAUUCCUUCGCUUGCCUUCGCCACGCCUCUCUGCCCACCGCGCCGCGGCGGUUCCUCUACUGGGACGCUGGAGCUUGGCCUCCGGCGUAGAAAGUUCCUUGCUUGAUGGCAUCGGCGUUGGCAUCUCCCAGUGCGGCGGAAGACAGAUAUUGUUCGGCGAGCUGUACACGCUUUACGUUCUGUUGCUCCUGCACCAACAUUUCUCCGUACUCCAUCAGCUUCUCGAUGGUCAUGGCGGGCUUCUCGAAGGUUGGGGGUCCGUUCUUGGAGUUCACCAAGUUCUUUCCGAUGUUCUCCACUCCCGUACCUGCGAUCCACUUCCUCACCUCGUCGUCGUACACACGCGCCCUCAGGGCACCGAAGAAAUCUGAGUUACGAGAUAGUUCAGGUUAGAAUUCAGUCGAAGCCACAGUUUCAAUAAAUUAAUAUUAAACCAGCAUCAUCCAGCUGAACGCGAGAAUCAGUAGGGCCUUUUAUUACAUACCGAUGGACUGUCCAGGGAAUUGGUCAACCAACUUGGUAACAUUGUCGUCGCUGACGUUGUCCAAUCUGAAGAUACCCUUGCACACACCAAUUCGGUCCUCACGGGUGGGCGCCCAGUAGAACUUCUCCAUACGCCCAUCACGGAUCAGGGGUGCGUACAAAGUCGAGAAAUCGUUUCCGGUCACGAUGAUUGGCACACGAGGGAUCUCUUCCUUGUUGUACACUCCGGGCAGCUGCACGUUGGUGGGGCUGUCGGCGAUGUUCAUGAGGGUGGCGUUCACCAUCUGGUUGUUGACAGUGUAUUGGGUGGUACCUCCCAUACGUCCAGCACCAGCGUCGAGAUCGUUGAUGAAGAGGGCGCACAUCUUACCCUUCUUGAUGACAUCUGCGGCUUCCCUGUACCUCUGCCUGAUGAGCUUGGCGGGUUCUCCAGCGUUUCCAGACUCCAGCUCUCCAGCACUCAUGACGAUAGGGUUAAUGCCGAGCUUGGCCAUAACAAGCUCACACUGGAAGGACUUUCCUUGACCCUUUCCUCCCCAGAUACCCAGGAUGAGGGGUACCUUGAUACCAGGCAAGUUCAUGAAGUUCUUGGCGAUGUGAAUAAUCAACUUGUCCAUGAAAGCAGG